AGGGCACCCCCAGGAGUGGAGCCUGCGGCUUAAUUUGACUCAACACGGGGAAACUCACCCGGCCCGGACACCGGAAGGAUUGACAGAUUGAUAGCUUUUUCUUGAUUCGGGGGAUGGGGGUGCAUGGCCGUUCUUAGUUCGGGGAGCGAUUUGUCUGGUUUAUUCCGAUAACGAACGAAACUCUGGCCUAUUAAAUAGACGGUGUAUCUUGAAGUAUACCGCGCUCCUUAGAGGGACAAGCGGCGUCUAGCCGCAUGAAAUAGAGCAAUAACAGGUCUGUGAUGCCCUUAGAUGUCCGGGGCUGCACGCGCGCUACACUGAAAGAAUCAGCGUGCGAUUAGCCUGGCUCGCAAGAAUCGGGUAACCCAAGUAAAUUCUUUCGUGCUUGGGAUAGGGAAUUGCAAUUAUUUCCCUUAAACGAGGAAUUCCCAGUAAAUGCGGGUCAUAAGCUCGCGUUGAUUACGUCCCUGCCCUUUGUACACACCGCCCGUCGCUACUACCGAUUGGAUGACUUAGUGA
rnacentral:rRNA from 1 species